UUGGCACAUCAUACACCGGAAUUCUUUGAAUUGUAUGGGUUUAUUACCAUUUAUACCAAUAGUUUAUACCUUUUAUACUCUGCUUUGAUACCA